AAAUUAAAGAGUUUGAUCAUGGCUCAGAUUGAACGCUGGCGGCAGGCCUAACACAUGCAAGUCGAACGGUAACAGGAAGCAGCUUGCUGCUUCGCUGACGAGUGGCGGACGGGUGAGUAAUGUCUGGGAAACUGCCUGAUGGAGGGGGAUAACUACUGGAAACGGUAGCUAAUACCGCAUAAUGUCGCAAGACCAAAGAGGGGGACC
rnacentral:rRNA from 1 species